GGAUGGGAUUACCCAGCGCCUCCUCUCUCUCUGCCAGCAUCUUCAAGUAUUCCCGGUGGCGCUGAAACCAAAGGGAAGGGAACAUGAGCCUGCUGCACCAUUCCCAUCUGUUCCGGGGCCCAACGCUAGGCUUUUCGCUGACCCACUACCAUAUACCCAGGUGGCACUCUGAGUGGGGGACAUGUGAUGGGCUGGACGCUAAGGCUUAGGGGUCCGACUCAGGGAUCCCGAGGCCUGGCGCGCACACCCCGAAGGAGCUUAGUAAUCGCCUGGCGAAUAAAUGAAUUUAAGC